UUUUUUAAAUAGAGACCAGUAUGAACGGCCCAACGAGGACUUAACUGUCUCCUUUAUCUAAUCAGUGAAACUGAUCUCCUCGUGCAGAAGCGAGGAUUAGCCCAUAAGACGAGAAGACCCUAUGGAGCUUCAAACUUAAAUCAACCACUUACUAAUUACGUCCUAGGAUAAAACCCUUAAUUAUGUGAAGUUUGAGUAAAGUUUUGGGUUGGGGCGACCAUGGAGAAAAAAAGACCCUCCCUGACGACUUUAAACUAAGAGCUACAGUUCUAAGUACUAGGAUCCUUAACUACAAUUGACCCAUUUUGUGACCAACGAACCAAGUUACCCUAGGGAUAACAGCGCCAUCCAUUUCUAGAGUUCCUAUCGACAAAUGGGUUUACGACCUCGAUGUUGGAUCAGGGCAUCCAAGUGGUGCAACCGCUGCUAAAGGUUCGUUUGUUCAACGAUUAAAGCCCUACGUGAUCUGAGUUCAGACCGGAUUUUUUUUU
rnacentral:rRNA from 1 species